UGGUGGGUGACCAUCUCUGCCUACAGGAUUAACAGUAUUUCCUUUAUCUUUACAACCAUCAGAAAUGACAAUUUCCCCAACACUGCCUGGUUCCACUGUUGGUAUGCAGUAAGGGUUUCAACACAUUCAGGAUCCACAUUCUUCCCACCAUCACUGUCAACUGUAUCAUCAACACAAGAAUUAUUUUAGGUUUAGACUAGACUGGAGGCGGAGAACAGUUUUUAUGAUGUAGUUCAAGGGGACUUAUUUUAGCUAAAGGACUAUGGAGUGUCCCCAGAAGAUAAAAGGUAGACAAAAGGCAGAAGUCCUAAUACAGCAAUCAUAAUGACGAAUGCAGAGAAACAUUGCAGAGACUUUUAGGAGCAGUACCAGUCCUGCUAUUAUGUGAAAAUGCAGAGAAGUGAUGACUAGAGAGUAAACUUU
rnacentral:lncRNA from 1 species